AUAAUAUUCAGCUUUUAUAACUUUUAUUACUUUUUAUUAUCCUGGUUUUCUCCAUUGGUACAAGGCCACCUUCCACUUAUAUACUCAGUUUUUACUUAAAAUAGCUAAUAACAUUUGUCAGCCAUUUACUGUACCAUAAAUCACAGUUCAACGAAUGCACUUUCUUACUUGUCUCUCGUUUAUGACAGCUGAGCAUGUAACGGUGUCUGAAAUGCAAUCAUUUUUGUGUAGAUUUCUUUAAAGGGACACUCUAGAGCAGUGGUUACCAAACCAGUCAUCAUGGCCUAGCAGCAGC